rnacentral:tRNA from 1 species
CGGGGCGUAGCGCAGCCUGGUAGCGCAUCAGACUGGGGGUCUGAGGGUCGCAGGUUCAAAUCCUGUCGCCCCGACCA